rnacentral:rRNA from 1 species
UACGAAGGGGGCGAGCGUUGUUCGGAUUUACUGGGCGUAAAGGGCUCGUAGGCGGCCAACUAAGUCGGAUGUGAAAUCCCCAAGCUUAACUUGGGAACUGCAUCCGAUACUGGAUGGCUUGAAUCCGGGAGAGGGAUGCAGAAUUCCAGGUGUAGCGGUGAAAUGCGUAGAUAUCUGGAGGAAUACCGGUGGCGAAGGCGGCAUCCUGGACCGGCAUUGACGCUGAGGAGCGAAAGCUAGGGGAGCAAACGGG